AAUAGAUACCCCGGUAGUCCACGCCGUAAACGAUGAGUGCUAAGUGUUGGGGGGGUUUCCGCCCCUCAGUGCUGCAGCUAACGCAUUAAGCACUCCGCCUGGGGAGUACGGUCGCAAGACUGAAACUCAAAGGAAUUGACGGGGGCCCGCACAAGCGGUGGAGCAUGUGGUUUAAUUCGAAGCAACGCGAAGAACCUUACCAGGUCUUGACAUCCCGGUGACCACUAUGGAGACAUAGUUUCCCCUUCGGGGGCAACGGUGACAGGUGGUGCAUGGUUGUCGUCAGCUCGUGUCGUGAGAUGUUGGGUUAAGUCCCGCAACGAGCGCAACCCUUAUUCUUAGUUGCCAUCAUUCAGUUGGGCACUCUAAGGAGACUGCCGGUGAUAAACCGGAGGAAGGUGGGGAUGACGUCAAAUCAUCAUGCCCCUUAUGACCUGGGCUACACACGUGCUACAAUGGACGGUACAAACGGUUGCCAACCCGCGAGGGGGAGCUAAUCCGAUAAAACCGUUCUCAGCUCGGAUUGUAGGCUGCAACUCGCCUAC
rnacentral:rRNA from 1 species